rnacentral:misc_RNA from 1 species
AAAAACUAAAAGGGAAGAAUAAAGAAAAGUACGCAAAAAAAUACUCAUAUUGAGAGGUUAAAUUUUGUAAACAGGAGUGAUUCCCAGCAGAUGGAAACACUUUCUCAUGACAACUGCUGUUGCCUCACACAGUAAGAGUCUGCUUGUUUCCUCGGCCGAGCCAACGACCUGACAGUUGGUAUAGAAUUUGGUGAAGUCUUCAGAUAUAUUGUAAAGAUAUUCACACACCAAGUGUGGCGAAAGAUUGGUACAAGCGUCUUCAACAAUUUCAGCAAACUGGAGUAAAUGGAGGCCUAGCGUACGUUCAUCUGGAUGAGCCAAAUCUAUUGCCGCACUCUUUUUCA